UACAGAGGUCCCGAGCGUUGUUCGGAUUCACUGGGCGUAAAGGGUGCGCAGGUGGCUUGACAAGUUUGAUGUGAAAUCUCCGGGCCCAACCCGGAAAAUGCAUUGAAUACUGUUGAGCUUGAGGUUUGGAGGGGGGACUGGAAUUCUCGGUGUAGCAGUGAAAUGCGUAGAUAUCGAGAGGAACACCAGUGGCGAAGGCGAGUCCCUGGACAACACCUGGCACUGAGGCACGAAAGCCGGGGGAGCAAACAGG
rnacentral:rRNA from 1 species